GACGAACGCUGGCGGCGUGCUUAACACAUGCAAGUCGAGCGGAGCGGCGAACGGGUGAGUAACGCGUGAGUAACUGCCCCCCUCUCUGGGGUAACAGUUGGAAACGGCUACUAAUACCGGAUAGUUGGGGAUGACUCGGGUCAUAUCAGCUUGUUGGUGGGGUAGUGGCCUACCAAGGCGACGACGGGUAGCCGGCCUGGGAGGGGGAACGGCCACAUUGGGCUGAGGGACGGCCCAAACGCCUACGGGGGGCAGCAGGGGGGAAUAUUGCGCAAUGGGGGAAACCCUGAGGCAGCAACGCGCGGGCGUGAUGACGGUCUUCGGGGUGUAAACCGCUUUCAGCCAUGACGCGUUAGUGGCAGAAGAAGCACCGGCUAACUACGUGCCAGCAGCCGCGGUAAUUC
rnacentral:rRNA from 1 species